UACGUAGGGGGCUAGCGUUGUCCGGAAUCAUUGGGCGUAAAGCGCGUGUAGGCGGUCCGGUAAGUCCGCUGUGAAAGUCGGGGGCUCAACCCUCGAAUGCCGGUGGAUACUGUCGGGCUAGAGUGCGGAAGAGGCGAGUGGAAUUCCUGGUGUAGCGGUGAAAUGCGCAGAUAUCAGGAGGAACACCAAUUGCGAAGGCAGCUCGCUGGGACGUUACUGACGCUAAGGCGCGAAAGCGUGGGGAGCGAACAGG
rnacentral:rRNA from 1 species